UGUGCGUAAUUUAAAAAAAAUACCAAGCUGUGACCUUGACAAUAGGAAAUACCCUCAC
rnacentral:tRNA from 1 species